rnacentral:ncRNA from 1 species
UAAAGUCUUGGUCCUGAACUUACCAUUACCUAGGGCUGGUAUUACACAUGCCAGUAUCAGCGCCCCCGUGCCCAAGCCCAUAAUCACCCUCUAAUACGGAGCCGGCAUCAGGCACAUCCAAUGAUAGCCCAUAACGCCUAGCACCAGCCACCCCCCCACGGGACCCAGCAGUGAUAAACAUUAGGCAAUAAGCCAUAAACACGCUUGACCUAGACACAGCCCCUGCAGAGCCGGUAAACCCCGUGCCAGCCACCGCGGUUAUACGGCGGACUCAAAGCAACCAAUCACGGCGUAAAACGUGACUAGAGACCACGACUGUCGCACAGGACACAAAACCAGUAUAGUGUUGUAGAAUACUAAUAUCACUGACUAACUCAACCAACUGCCCGAAACAACAGCCCAACUUGACCCCACGAAAACUAAGACACAAACUAGGAUUAGAUACCCUACUAUGCUUAGACGUAAACCCAGAUAGCACCACAACCAUCUAUCCGCCAGAGAAUUACAGACGAAAAGUCUGAAACUCAAAGGGAACUUGACGGUGUCCCACACCAACCUAGAGGAGCCUGUCCUACAAUCGAUACCCCCACGAUACACCUCACCUGCCCUUGUACCCACAGCCUAUAUACCGCCGUCGCCAGCUCACCCCAUGAGGGUCACAGUAGUGGGCACAACAGCCAGCACUAAAACGUCAGGUCAAGGUGUAGCUAACGGGCAGGCAGCGAUGGGCUACAUUUUCUUACAAAGAAAACCACAGAAAACAUAAUGAAAUCGUGCCAAAAGGCGGAUUUAGCAGUAAACACGGAAAGAGUCCCGAGUUGAAGCCAGCCCUGGGACGCGUACACACCGCCCGUCACCCUCAUCAACAACACGCAAUACAAUAAAUAAACACAUAUAGUACCGAAGAUGAGACAAGUCGUAACAUGGUAAGCGUACUGGAAAGUGCGCUUGGAAAACC